rnacentral:lncRNA from 1 species
ACCGCCAGUAACACAGACACAGCUCGACAACCCACCACCAACGGCCAUUUCAGUCCAUUUUACUUUUGACGGUAAACUGGGUGCAACAACAACGCCACUUUACCACCACUGUUACCGUUUCCAUCAAACUUCCAUUUUCAACUUCACAAUCAUCGUUUUCAACUACAAAAUCACCACUGACACCGUCAGACCACCACCACUAGAUCUACCGCCAAAUUCAACAAAAGACUAUCAUAACCGCCAGAUCCAUCACCGUUCUCGCCACCAACAAGAAUCACAGCCACCACUAGAUCCAACAAAAUCACCGCCGCCGCCUUAAAUUCUUACAAAAAAAAUCUCCAAAUCUGUCUUCGGUACCACCACCACCGGCUCAAAUCACAACCCACAGACUUUAUACAAAACCACAAACUUCGUCAAUGCCAAACCACAACCUCACAUUCAAAAUGUGCAAAUUUUUAGACAACAUUCACUACACAGAUCAGUCGAUGCUUAUAACAGGAUGAGAUGAAAUGAUCGUCUGGGUUCGGAUAAGAAAGAGAUUGCUACUUCUCAGCAUAGUAGCAGUGGCAGAGCUUCUCCAUUAUGGGGUGGCACUACGCCGAGGUUCCGAGAGUGGCAGAAUCGAAGAAGUUGCUAUUGAUAAUGAUCGCCCCCGCGUCUGAGGUCUUUGGAGUGGCUACCACUGCAUCGGAGUUGAGGCAUUGAAAAAGCGGAUGUUGG